AACGCACAUUGCGCCCGCCAGUAUUCUGGCGGGCAUGCCUGUCCGAGCGUCAUUUCAACCCUCGAGCCCCUCCGGGGGGUCGGCGUUGGGGAUUCGGCCCUCCCUCGCGGGGGCCGGCCCCGAAAUGCAGUGGCGGUCUCGCCGCAGCCUCUCCUGCGCAGUAGUUUGCACAACUCGCACCGGGAGCGCGGCGGGCCCACGCCGUAAAACAACCCAACCUUCUGAAAUGUUGACCUCGGAUCAGGUAGGAAUACCCGCUGAACUUAA
rnacentral:misc_RNA from 1 species